AGGAACACUCAGCUAUGAGAAGACGAUUAGUGAUGAUGACGCCUCCACAGACGUUCAGUUCAUUGGCAGAGAUAUUGGAAUAGUUUUGGCAUACGAUGUGGUAUUCCUCCUCUGCAUUGGCCCCUUCAUUGUGUAUUAUUGGUUCUUUGGAUUGCUUUCAAUAACCGCCUUUACAGUCUUAGCCUGCCUGGAGACUGCAACCCC